rnacentral:rRNA from 1 species
UACGGAGGGGGCUAGCGUUGUUCGGAAUUACUGGGCGUAAAGCGCGCGUAGGCGGACCUGCAAGUCGGGGGUGAAAGCCCGAGGCUCAACCUCGGAACUGCCUUCGAUACUGCGGGUCUCGAGUCCGGGAGAGGUGAGUGGAAUUCCUAGUGUAGAGGUGAAAUUCGUAGAUAUCAGGAAGAACACCAGUGGCGAAGGCGGCUCACUGGCCCGGUACUGACGCUGAGGCGCGAAAGCGUGGGGAGCAAACAGG